UUAACACAUGCAAGUCGAACGAAGCAGCAGUGAAGGAGGCUUCGGCCAAUGGAUCUGUUGACUUAGUGGCGGACGGGUGAGUAACGCGUGAGCAACCUGCCUUUCAGAGGGGGAUAACGUUUGGAAACGAACGCUAAUACCGCAUGACAUAGUAUUAUCGCAUGGUAGUGCUAUCAAAGGAGCAAUCCGCUGAAAGAUGGGCUCGCGUCCGAUUAGAUAGUUGGUGGGGUAACGGCCUACCAAGUCGACGAUCGGUAGCCGGACUGAGAGGUUGAACGGCCACAUUGGGACUGAGACACGGCCCAGACUCCUACGGGAGGCAGCAGUGGGGAAUAUUGCACAAUGGGCGCAAGCCUGAUGCAGCAACGCCGCGUGAGGGAAGACGGUUUUCGGAUUGUAAACCUCUGUCCUUGGUGACGAACAAAUGACGGUAGCCGAGGAGGAAGCCACGGCUAACUACGUGCCAGCAGCGGC
rnacentral:rRNA from 1 species